CAUUCCCUUUCGUUCUCCAUUAACAACAGUGUUUCAUUAGGAUUCCACAAGGUGGCAACAUCAUCCCAGCACUGACAAUCUUUAUACAAUUCGAUAUCUGUGUUGAACCACGGCUAGUUCUGAACCUCUGGUAGAGGUCGACAGGGUUUUUUGGGGUAGGCUAAUACCCUUGGCACCCUCAUGGUCUAAAUGCUUAUUGAUACAGACAACAGAACACGUCCGUUCACCCAUAAUGGCAUGACCACGUCCUGUGGAGAGAAGCGAUACCCCCCGUCCAGAGCUGUCAAUAUCAAUCUCUCUGUGCUGAUUGUUCUGCAGUGUGCUGCUCUCUCUUAGUGCAGACGUGCUACUGAGUUUGCUGCCUUGUGGCGGACUUACACCAGAAACCACCCGCUGAGGCCAAAUCAGGUGUGUGGCUAUGACGGAAAUGAAGUCACCGCUGGUUACACAAUGAGGCUUGUAGGCCUACGUCUCCUUCGCCAUGUGGGGCUGUGGGGGGUCUCUGAGGACCUGUGGGAGUGUGUUUCCCACCACCCUCAAUUUACAGACAGCUGGAAAUUCUGAUAAGACAUGACAACCCGGGGGAUGGCAAACCCAAGUCAAAUAUUUGCUGUCAAUAUUUAGUCUUGUUCGUCUUUCCACCAGCAAACUCAUUUAAUAGAGUGUAUUUUAGUUUUAUAGUCAGAACCAUCAACCCACUGUGGUGCUCAAAUGAAAUGAACUGCUACUCUCAAUCUAUUUUGACAGUCUCUGAAAACUAAUAAGCUGGCUGAUAUUAAAUGUUAGCACAGUAUUCAAGAAAUGCGCAACAAGAGCGGUGUGAAGGUAGAAUGAUCAAUGCUUUGUGGGGGGGGGUGAGUACAUUGUAUUGAGUAGAUUGAAUUAUUUUUUCAACUUGCACUAUGAUACAUUGUACACUUGUUAUUGUAAUAAGAACAGUAACACAUUAUAAUGUAAUGCUAUAGGUUAUAAUUACUACGUUAUUGUAAUAAGAACAGUAACACAUUAUAAUGUAAUGCUAUAGGUUAUAAUUACUACGUUAUUGUAAUAAGAACAGUAGCACAUUAUAAUGUAAUGCUAUAGGUUAUAAUUACUGUGUUAUUGUAAUAAGAACAGUAGCACAUUAUAAU
ensembl:lncRNA